rnacentral:tRNA from 1 species
GGCGCUAUAGUCCAGUGGUAAGAUACUUGCUUCGGGUGCAGGUGACUCGAGUUCGAUUCUCGAUGGCGCCC